rnacentral:rRNA from 1 species
AAUAAACGCUGGCGGCAUGCCUAACACAUGUAAGUCGAACGAGAAAGUCCCUUCGGGGGCGAGUAAAGUGGCAAACGGGUGAGUAAUGCAUGGGUAACCUGCCCAUACGUUCGGGACAACACUUUGAAAAGAGUGCUAAUACCGGAUGCUAUCAUCGACGCUUAGGCGAUGGUGAUGAAAGGUGGCCUCUCCUUGGAAGCUACCGCGUAUAGAGGGGCUCAUGUCCCAUUAGCUUGUUGGUAGGGUAACGGCCUACCAAGGCGACGAUGGGUAGCCGGCCUGAGAGGGUGUCCGGCCACACUGGGACUGAGAUACGGCCCAGACUCCUACGGGAGGCAGCAGUGAGGAAUUUUGCGCAAUGGGAGAAAUCCUGACGCAGCAAUGCCGCGUGAGUGAUGAAGCUUUUUGGAGUGUAAAGCUCUGUCAAAUGGGAAGAAAUGGUAUAAGAUCAAUACCCUUGUAUCUUGACGGUACCAUUAGAGGAAGCCCCGGCUAACUCCGUGCCAGCAGCCGCGGUAAUACGGAGGGGGCAAGCGUUAUUCGGAAUUACUGGGCGUAAAGAGCGUGUAGGCGGUCUUGUAAGUUAGGCGUGAAAACCUAUGGCUCAACCAUAGGCUUGCGUUUAAAACUGCAGGACUAGAGUAUUGGAGAGGGAAGUGGAAUUCCUAGUGUAGCGGUGAAAUGCGUAGAUAUUAGGAGGAACACCGGUGGCGAAGGCGGCUUCCUGGACAGAUACUGACGCUGAGACGCGAAAGCUAGGGGAGCAAACGGGAUUAGAUACCCCGGUAGUCCUAGCUGUAAACGAUGGGCACUAGGUGUAGGAGGUAUUGACCCCUUCUGUGCCGGAGCUAACGCAGUAAGUGCCCCGCCUGGGGAGUACGGUCGCAAGGCUGAAACUCAAAGGAAUUGACGGGGGCCCGCACAAGCGGUGGAGCAUGUGGUUUAAUUCGACGCAACGCGAAGAACCUUACCGGGGUUUGACAUGUACUGGACAGUCUUGGAAACAAGAUCUUCCUUCGGGACUGGUACACAGGUGCUGCAUGGCUGUCGUCAGCUCGUGUCGUGAGAUGUUGGGUUAAGUCCCGCAACGAGCGCAACCCUUGUCCUUAGUUGCCAUCAGUUCGGCUGGGCACUCUAAGGAGACUGCUGCUUUAAAAGCGGAGGAAGGAGGGGAUGACGUCAAGUCCUCAUGGCCCUUAUGUCCCGGGCUACACACGUGCUACAAUGGCGCAUACAAAGGGUAGCUAGUCGGUAACGCCAAGCCAAUCCCAAAAAGUGCGUCCAAGUUCGGAUUGGGGUCUGCAACUCGACCCCAUGAAGCUGGAAUCGCUAGUAAUCGUGGAUCAGCACGCCACGGUGAAUCCGUUCCCGGGCCUUGUACACACCGCCCGUCACACCACGAAAGUUGGUUGUACCAGAAGUCAUUGAGCUAACUCGCAAGAGGGGCAGAUGCCCAAGGUAUGAUCAGCGAUUGGGGUG